CACGCCGUAAACGAUGGAUACUAGCUGUCCGGGACCUUGAGUCCUGGGCGGCCAAGCGAAAGUGAUAAGUAUCCCACCUGGGGAGUACGUUCGCAAGAAUGAAACUCAAAGGAAUUGACGGGGGCCCGCACAAGCGGUGGAGCAUGUGGUUUAAUUCGAUGAUACGCGAGGAACCUUACCAGGGCUUAAAUGCAUAUUGACAGGUUUAGAGAUAGACUUUCCUUCGGGCAAUUUGCAAG
rnacentral:rRNA from 1 species